rnacentral:rRNA from 1 species
GUCCACGCCCUAAACGAUGCCAACUAGUUGUUGGGAAGGAGACUUCCUUAGUAACGAAGCUAACGCGUGAAGUUGGCCGCCUGGGGAGUACGGUCGCAAGAUUAAACUCAAAGGAAUUGACGGGACCCGCACAAGCGGUGGAUGAUGUGGAUUAAUUCGAUGCAACGCGAAAACCUUACCUACCCUUGACAUGCCAGGAACUCUGCUGAGAGGUGGAGGUGCCCGAAAGGGAACCUGGACACAGGUGCUGCAUGGCUGUCGU